CAGUCGCCGCGGGAAUACGAAGGUCCCGAGCGUUGUUCGGAAUCACUGGGCGUAAAGGGAGCGUAGGCGGCGUGGUAAGUCAGAUGUGAAAUCCCGGGGCUCAACCCCGGAACUGCAUCCGAUACUGCCAUGCUAGAGGAUUGGAGAGGUAGCUGGAAUUCUUGGUGUAGCAGUGAAAUGCGUGGAGAUCAAGAGGAACACUCGUGGCGAAAGCGAGCUACUGGACAAUAACUGACGCUGAGGCUCGAAGGCCAGGGUAGCGAAAGGGAUUAGAUACCCCAGUAGUCCCUGUCUCUUAUAC
rnacentral:rRNA from 1 species